GAAUCUCUCAAAGGGGUUUUGUCGCCACCCCUUUGGAUUUUGGGUCUUGCCGUGAAAUUUAUCUCGGCUCACCUUGAAAGCAUUAGCAAAGCUUUUUAGCACUCUAAGUCUUUUGUGAAUCUUUUGUGAUGAGGGCGUUCUAAUUGGUCAAAGCUGGUCAAGCUCUAUAGACGUCUAAACAUCCAUAAGAGUGACUUUUUGAGUGAAGCUUAGCUUCCAAUCAUCCUUAUAGGAUUGGGCAUUGAGCUCCAUCAAUGUUAU
rnacentral:misc_RNA from 1 species